GAAGAAGGAUAAUAAUAGCGGAGAAGAAACGAAUGCACCACGUCUCCGAAUCUUGGCCGUGAGAUAAUGGAGGACGCCAGGAAGAACACGCGAAGAGCACCAUCAUCUUCUCUUCUCCUUCACCAUUGCCUCCCUACGCUACUCUUUUCUGUCUCCUCUAGCUUCAAUUCUUGACCUAGUAUUACCAAAACUAUGGCAGAGCCCUCAGGACGAAGUCUUGCCGAUGAUGAAUACGAUAACCCAGAGGAGUUCCAAUGGAAGGAUGCGGAUGUGAGCUCUUCGACAGCAGAAACCUCUGUUUCUGCACAGGUGCUGGAUUUGAUGCGCCGCGGCAAUAGAGCCUUCCGGGAGAAACGAAUUGAAGAGGCUAUUUCUUGUUACUCCAAAGCUCAACUUUUAAAACCUGGAGAUCCUGUGAUCCUAAUCAAUAGAAGCGCUGCUUUCUCUAGGAUCAGCCAACUCUUGAGAGAGAGAUCUGCAACUGCAUCAGAGUAUCAACCAUUGAACGGUUUAGAUCCAACAACUCAUGCAGAGCUUGCAUUAAAGGAUGCUGAUAAAGUUAUAAGUAUUCAGAGUAAUUCUCCCAAACCAUAUUUGCUGAAGGCCAAAGCACUGAUUUCGCUUGAACGCUAUGAAGAGGCACGAGAAGCACUACUUACUGGCCUUCAAAUUGAUCCUCUGAGCCAUCAUGCCAAGAAUAGUCUUCAGAAUUUGGAUAAGGUCAUCUCUGGUUCAGCUAAGAGGUUUAAACUGUGGAAACCACAGAGAACCGAUGAUUUUGAAUGCACGUUAUGCCUAAAGCUAUUAUUUGAGCCUGUUACUACUCCAUGUGGGCAUUCUUUUUGCCGCUCGUGUCUACUUCAGACUAUGGAUCAUGGUAACAAGUGUCCCAUGUGCCGCAUGGUCCUAUUUAUCAGCCCCAGAACAUAUCCUAUUAGCGUGACUCUGAAUAAUAUUAUACAGAAAAACUUCCCUGAGGAAUAUGCUGAGAGGAAGCUGGAGCAUGCGAAUUUAACAUAUGGGGGGACCGACAUAUUGCCUCUUUUUGUUAUGGAUGUUGUCCUUCCAUGCCAAAAGUUGUCUCUUAAUAUAUUUGAACCGCGUUAUAGAUUGAUGGUGAGGAGAAUAAUGGAGGGAAAUCAUCGCAUGGGAAUGGUGAUCAUAGAUUCUACAACAGGUGCAAUUGCUGAUUAUGCCUGUGAAGUGGAAAUUCUCGAGUGUGAACCGCUACCUGAUGGGCGGUUUUACUUGGAGGUUGAAGGUCGCCGUCGAUUUCAUAUCUUACGAUCAUGGGAUCAAGAUGGGUAUCGGGUAGCAGAAGUUGAAUGGGUUCAAGAUGUACUCCCCUUAGAGGGAUCACAAGAGAGGGAAGAUCUACAGCAAAUGGCUAGUGAGGCGUCAGAGCUGGCUCAAACAUGGAUAAGAAACGCAAGAGAAGCUGCAAGAAUAGGUAGGAGAGCAAGGCGCUUGGAAGUUCUUCAAGCUGAUGGAGUGCCUGGAGCUCGGGAUCCUGAGAAAUUUAGUUUUUGGCUUGUGAAUCUUCUUAACCUGAGGCCAUCUGAGAGGCUGAACAUAUUACGAUUGAGAGAUACAAGAGAGAGGAUUUCCUGUGGACUUGACUUUCUGAGGAGGACUGAAGAACAGGGCUGCCAAGUCCAGUAAAAAUUAAGGAUUAGUUUGGGAUGGCUUUUUUAUUACUUCUUAAAGCUGUUUUUUAGUGCAAAAAUUAAAAUUUAUGUACUAGAAAGCUGCUUUAAGAAGCAGUAAGAAAACCGUCUCAAACAAAACUUAAGUUUUUGAACUAAUAUUGCCAUUCAUGAUCAUCUGGAUGGUGAGGAAAAGCUGAGAAAUUAUAUGUAUCUUUUAAAUGUAAGCCUCAAUUAAGUAUUUUUUGUGAUCACUUUUUAGUUUGUUUUCCUUUCUUUAUCUCAAUAAUUUCUAUGUUCUUCAAAUCUGUAUUAAGCUGAUCAGCACAAAUGAUAGAAUGUGAAAGAAAACUUGCUACAUUUGCCUUUUACCAACA